AUUGAACGCUGGCGGCAUGCCUUACACAUGCAAGUCGAACGGCAGCACGGGUGCUUGCCCCUGGUGGCGAGUGGCGAACGGGUGAGUAAUACAUCGGAACAUGUCCUGUAGUGGGGGAUAGCCCGGCGAAAGCCGGAUUAAUACCGCAUACGAUCUACGGCUUAAAGCGGGGGACCUUCGGGCCUCGCGCUAUAGGGUUGGCCGAUGGCUGAUUAGCUAGUUGUUGGGGUAACGGCCUACCAAGGCGACGAUCAGUAGCUGAUCUGAGAGGACGACCAGCCACACUGGGACUGAGCCACGGCCCAGACUCCUACGAGAGGCAGCAGUGGGGAAUUUUGGACAAUGGGCGAAAGCCUGAUCCAGCAAUGCCGAGUGUGUGAAGAAGGCCUUCGGGUUGUAAAGCACUUCUGUCCGGAAAGAAAUCCUUGGCCCUAAUACGGUCGGGGGAUGACGGUACCGGAAGAAUAAGCACCGGCUAACUACGUG
rnacentral:rRNA from 1 species